UCAUUUCUCUUCUCUCAACUCUCUCCACCCCCUUGGUAGAAGAGAAGAAGAAGAAGGAGAAGGAGAAGGAGAAGAAGGAAGGAAGAAGAAGAAGAUUGAGAGCUUUUAGGGGACUUGGAGCAUCUUCCCCACCCUCUCUUCUUCUUUGGUGCUUGGAGCUUGGACUUGGAGCUUCCAAAGGAGAAGAUCUUCACCCUUUGAGCUUGGAUUGGAGCUUCUUAGAAGUUGGUAGCCUUUUUCUCCAUCUAGACCUUAGAUUUGAGGUUUUAUUAUUUUGGAACCCUAGAAUGAGGUUUUAGGGUUGAUUUUGGGGCUUUUUGAUAUAGGGCUUUUGAGGCUAGAUUGAUUGGUUUAGAACCUUCCUUGGGCUUGGAGUGGAAGGGUUCUAGCUCUCUUUUAGAGCUUUGGAAGAGAUUUCUUCUCUUGAGGUGAGAUUUGACCCCUUUUGCUUCUAGGUUAAUAUUUGAUAUUAUAUGAUGAUCGUAAUGCCCGUGUAUCUUGUCGCUCAAUACUUCUAGGGUAUUUCGAGACUCGGGGACAACUUUGUUCGGCGAAACGAGGCCCUACGCGACGGUUCGG
rnacentral:lncRNA from 1 species